rnacentral:tRNA from 1 species
GGGUUUGUGGCUCAGUGGUAGAGCGCUUGCCUAGCAUGCGUGAGGCACUGGGUUCAAUUUUCAGCACCA